rnacentral:rRNA from 1 species
GCCCAGCUGGUCCGCCUAAUGGGUGAGUACUGGUUUUGGGUGCGGCUUACCUUGUGGUGAGCAGGAAUGCCCUUUGUUGGGUGCUUCUGGGAACCAUGACGUUUACUUUGAAAAAAUUAGAGUGUUUAAAGCAGGCUUUCGCUUGAAUACAUUAGCAUGGAAUAAUAGAAUAGGACUUUG